ensembl:lncRNA
GACAGGUAGAGUGAGGGGGAUAAUGACUGACUGGUAGACUGAGGGGGAUAAUGACUGACUGGUAGACUGAGGGGGAUAAUGACUGACUGGUAGAUUGAAGGGGAUAAUGACUGACUGGUAGACUGACAGGGAUAAUGACUGACUGUUAGACUGAAUGGGAUAAUGACUGACUGGUAGACUGAGGGGGAUAAUGACUGACUGGUAAACUGAAGGGGAUAGUGACUGACUGGUAGACUGAGGGGGAUAAUGACUGACUGGUAGACCGAGGGAGAUAAUGACUGACCGGUAGACGGACGGGGAUAAUGACUGAUAGACUGAAGGGGAUAAUGACUGACUGGUAGACUGAGGGGGAUAAUGACUGACUCAUAGACUGGCGGGGAUAAUGACUGACAGGUAGACUGUAAAAAAAUACUUGAAAGUACUACUUAAGUAAUUUUAGGUAUUUGUACUUUACUUUAGUAUUUAUAUUUUUGAGAACUUUUACUUUUACUUCACUACAUUCCUAAAGAAAAUAUUGUACUUUUUACUCCAUACAUUUUCCCUGACAACCCAAAUGACUCGUUAUAUUUUGAAUGCUUAGCAAGACAGGAAAAUUGUGAAAUUCACACACUUAUCAAGAGAACACGUCUGGCGGACUCACUAAAAACACUAAAAACAAAGGCAUCUUUUGUAAAUAAUGUCUGAGUGUUGGAGUGUGCCCCUGGCUAUCCAUACAUUUUAAAAACAAGAAAAUGGUACAGUCUGAUUUGCUUAAUAUAAGGAAUUUGAAAUGGUUUGUACUUUUACUUUUGGUACUUAAAUAUAUUUUAGCAAUUACAUUUACUUUUGAAACCUAAGUACAUUUUAAACCAAAUACUUUUAGACUUUUACUCAAGAAGUAUUUUACUGGAUGACUUUCCCUUUUACUUGAGUAACUUUCUAUUAAGGUAUCUUUACUCUUACUCAAGUAUGACAAUUCUGUACUUUUUCCACCACUGAUAAAUAGAUAGAUAGAUGAAUGAAUGAAAUAAUAAAUAAAUGAAUAUAUAAAUACAUGAAUAAAUACAUACAUAAAUAAG